GGAGAAAAGCAGGGGAUCGCAAGACCUUGCGCUUUUGGAGCGGCCGAUGUCUGAUUAGCUUGUUGGUAAGGUAAAAGCUUACCAAGGCUUCGAUCAGUAGCUGGUCUGAGAGGACGACCAGCCACACUGGGACUGAGACACGGCCCAGACUCCUACGGGAGUCAGCAGUGGGGAAUUUUGGACAAUGGGGGCAACCCUGAUCCAGCCAUGCCGCGUGAGUGAAGAAGGCCUUCGGGUUGUAAAGCUCUUUCAGCCGGAACGAAACGGUUACGGUUAAUACCCGUGACUACUGACGGUACCGGAAGAAGAAGCACCGGCUAACUACGUGCCAGCAGCCGCGGUAAUACGUAGGGUGCGAGCGUUAAUCGGAAUUACUGGGCGUAAAGCGUGCGCAGGUGGUUUUGUAAGUCAGAUGUGAAAUCCCCGGGCUCAACCUGGGAACUGCGUUUGAAACUACAAAGCUAG
rnacentral:rRNA from 1 species